CCUGGCAGUCAGAGGCGAUGAAGGACGUGCUAAUCUGCGAUAAGCGUCGGUAAGGUGAUAUGAACCGUUAUAACCGGCGAUUUCCGAAUGGGGAAACCCAGUGUGAUUCGUCACACUAUCAUUAACUGAAUCCAUAGGUUAAUGAGGCGAACCGGGGGAACUGAAACAUCUAAGUACCCCGAGGAAAAGAAAUCAACCGAGAUUCCCCCAGUAGCGGCGAGCGAACGGGGAGGAGCCCAGAGCCUGAAUCAGUGUGUGUGUUAGUGGAAGCGUCUGGAAAGGCGCGCGAUACAGGGUGACAGCCCCGUACACAAAAAUGCACAUACUGUGAGCUCGAUGAGUAGGGCGGGACACGUGGUAUCCUGUCUGAAUAUGGGGGGACCAUCCUCCAAGGCUAAAUACUCCUGACUGACCGAUAGUGAACCAGUACCGUGAGGGAAAGGCGAAAAGAACCCCGGCGAGGGGAGUGAAAAAGAACCUGAAACCGUGUACGUACAAGCAGUGGGAGCCUCUUUUAUGGGGUGACUGCGUACCUUUUGUAUAAUGGGUCAGCGACUUAUAUUCUGUAGCAAGGUUAACCGAAUAGGGGAGCCGAAGGGAAACCGAGUCUUAACUGGGCGUUAAGUUGCAGGGUAUAGACCCGAAACCCGGUGAUCUAGCCAUGGGCAGGUUGAAGGUUGGGUAACACUAACUGGAGGACCGAACCGACUAAUGUUGAAAAAUUAGCGGAUGACUUGUGGCUGGGGGUGAAAGGCCAAUCAAACCGGGAGAUAGCUGGUUCUCCCCGAAAGCU
rnacentral:rRNA from 1 species